GGCCUCCUGAUUUUUCUCCCCUGUGGGAUCCUUUUGGCUGAGACCCUUCAAAGCCUGCACCCCUCAGCCACAGUGCACCACUCCGAGUGACCUGGUCCUGCCUGUGUGCGUGGGAGCCCUGCAGGAGCUGGUGCCGCACUGCGCUCAUUGUCGUCUGGAAUUGCAGCUCGGAAUGGCCUGGUGGCUUUGGCCGUUCAGACCCCAGCUGGUGCUGGGGUGCUGGGCUGCCUGCCGAGAUAGGAUCCCAGGCAGAAGAAGAAAAGGCCAAAUAAACUUCAAGACACGCUGCCUCAGUCCAUGCAGUGAGCUGUGUUUUGCAGUUUUCAGAUACUCUUAAAUAAAAGUAAAAGUAAAAGUGCUUUAAUUAUGCCCUUGUUUGUGGUUCAGUUGCAUUAAGCCAACUUGAGAAUAUCACUCACUUUCCUGCUGCUGCAAAGUGAAGGCAAAUUUUGCUCCUUUUCCUUUGUAGGUUGCAUGAAUGGACUCAUUACAUCAAUACUUCUGGAACUCCACAGUCCCCUGCCUCAGAGCCGGGUGGCAGUGUCAUCUGAACAGGGCGUGGUUCCGGGACUGGCCUCUUGAAUCAGGGUGGGCUCCUGACUCUCAUAGCAUCUCAGUGUGUGUGUGGUUGGCCCUUGUAGACAGACGUGCUCUUGCUGUUUGCUUUUCGCUACUCAGUUACAGUUGUGCCCUUCCAUAGAUGACAUAUGCAUACCUGUGAGGAGUUGAGCAGAACUCGGCUGUUUAGUGUGACGUGGUCAUAACACUGCCUGCAUUCCAGUCCACCUCCUACUGGAUGGCCUUAGGCAUAAGAAAUCUCAAUGUCUUUAUCUGCAGAAUGGGGU